AGAAUCUCCAGAUCCCACCAGGAUCGUCCAAAUCCCACCGGGAUCGUCAGGAUCCUACCAGGAUCUUCCAAACUCACCAGCAUCUUCCAACACUCCCUGGAGCCUCCGGAUCCCACCAGGAUCAUCCAAAUCCCACUGGGAUCACCCAACACCACCGGGAUCACCCAACACCACCAGGAUCUUCCAAACCCACAGGGAUCAUCCAAACCCACCGGGAUCAUCCAGGUCCAUCCCAGGGAUCAUUCAAACCCACCAGGUUCUUCCAACACUCCUGGGAUCAUCCAGAUCCCACCAGGAUCAUCCAAACCCACCGGGAUCAUCCAACACCCCCAGGACCUUCCAACAUCCCUGGGAUCAUCCAAAUCCCAUCUCACCAGGAUCAUCCAGCACCCCCAGCAUCAUUCAACAGCUCCAGAAUCAUCCAAAUCCCACCAGGAUCUUCCAAACCCCCAAGGACCCCUCAAACCCACCCAGGAUUGUCCAAAAAAACCCCAGGAUCCCUCAGUCCCCCAGAAUCAUCCAAUUCCCUCCAAUCCUCAGAAUCAUCCAAUGACCCCAGGACCCUCCAGAACUCCCAGGAUCUUCCAAACUCCCCCCCCCCGGGUCCCCCAAACCCCCCGGGAUCCCCCCAACCCCCCCCCACCCCCCCCCCCCCCCCCCCCCCUCCCCCGGCCCCCCCCAGGCACCCCUGGGAUCCUCCAAACUCCCCCGGAUUCCUCCAAGCCCCCCAGGAUCUUCCAAACCCCCCCAAGAUCCUCCAGGCCCAGGAUCCCUGAGAGACCCCUCACCACCAUUCCCCCCUUGGUGCUGCCCCCCAAAAAAGGCUGCAGAUCAUCCCAAUGGACCCUCCCAAAAAUGUGUUCACCCCACAGGGGACCCAGCCCCACAUCCCCUCUUCCAGGCCUUCCUUGGGAUCUCUGCACUAUCCCUGUGCUCUCUGCAGCUCUGUCCCCACGGGCAGGUGACGGUGGCACACACGGCUCCAGCUCCAUGGUGGCCUUGUAG
rnacentral:lncRNA from 1 species